rnacentral:lncRNA from 1 species
GAUACAGCCUGGGAAAGCCUUGAGUGGCAGCCUAGCCAGCAGCGAUGGGAUGGAGGGGCUUUUAUCCCGCGGCCCACAGAGGCGGAAGUGGCCUGUUUGUUUAGUCCGCAAAGAAUUCCCCCAGUUCAGGGGCUACUUGGGUGGCGAUGCAUCCUGUUCCUUCAGGGAAAAGCUCUCCAAGAAUAUCCUUGAUUGACAACAGCCAGCCACGGGUUAAAAGGGCCCUUUAAGAUUCAAGGAGAAUUUCAUGUGGGAUAACAGAUUGAAUGCUGGAUGGAACCCCAGUGGCUGGUUAGUCCAGCCGCAUAACAUUACAGAUGUGCAAACUGAGGCCCAGGGAACUUGGCCAGCAUCGUAGCAUUAACAAGUGACUGAGAAUGGGAUUCCAGCCCAAGGCUUUCCAACGGCCACUUCCAGCACCACGCUGUACAGAGCUGGAGGGAACCUUGCAGACCACCAAGUCCAUCCUCUCACUUUUGCAGAUGAGGAAACUGAGGCCUCAGAGAGGUUAAGUGACUUGCCCGGGGUCACGUAG